rnacentral:rRNA from 1 species
UACGGGGGGGGCAAGCGUUGUUCGGAAUUACUGGGCGUAAAGGGCUCGUAGGUGGCCAACUAAGUCAGACGUGAAAUCCCUCGGCUUAACCGGGGAACUGCGUCUGAUACUGGAUGGCUUGAGUUCGGGAGAGGGAUGCGGAAUUCCAGGUGUAGCGGUGAAAUGCGUAGAUAUCUGGAGGAACACCGGUGGCGAAGGCGGCAUCCUGGAUCGGCAUUGACGCUGAACAGCGAAAGCUAGGGGAGCAAACGGG